GACGAACGCUGGCGGCGCGCUUAACACAUGCAAGUCGAACGGAAAGGCCUGCUUUCCCUUGUGGAUUGCGGGUACUCGAGUGGCGAACGGGUGAGUAACACGUGAGUGAUCUGCCCCCAACUUGGGUAUAAGCCUGGGAAACUGGGUCUAAUUCCCGAUAGGACUGCAGGGUGGUGCCUGUGGUGGAAAACGAUUUUCUAGUGGUUGGGGAUGAGCUCGCGGCCUAUCAGCUUGUUGGUGGGGUAAUGGCCUACCAAGGCGGCGACGGGUAGCCGGCCUGGGAGGGUGGACGGCCACAUUGGGACGGAGAUACGGCCCAGACUCCUACGGGAGGCAGCAGUGGGGAAGAUUGCACAAGGGGCGGAAGCCUGAUGCAGCGACGCCGCGUGGGGGAUGACGGCCUUCGGGUUGUAAACUCCUUUCGACCGCGAGGAAGCCACCUGGUUGGAAGGGUGGUGACGGUAGUGGUAGAAGAAGCACCGGCUAACUACGUG
rnacentral:rRNA from 1 species